CAAGAUGUCGGCGGCGGUGCCGGAGCUGAAGCAGAUCAGCCGGGUGGAGGCUAUGCGCCUGGGGCCGGGCUGGAGCCAUUCGUGCCACGCCAUGCUGUACGCCGCCAACCCCGGGCAGCUUUUCGGCCGCAUCCCCAUGCGCUUCUCGGUGCUGAUGCAGAUGCGCUUCGACGGGCUGCUGGGUUUUCCCGGGGGCUUCGUGGACCGGCGCUUUUGGUCUCUGGAGGACGGUCUGAACCGGGUGCUGGGCCUGGGCCUAGGCUGCCUGCGCCUCACGGAGGCCGACUAUCUGAGCUCGCACCUGACCGAGGGCCCGCACCGCGUCGUGGCGCACCUGUACGCACGGCAGCUGACGCUGGAGCAGCUGCACGCUGUGGAGAUCAGCGCGGUGCAUUCGCGCGACCACGGCCUGGAGGUGGGGCCGCCGCCCGGGCCCCGCCCCCCGCCCCGGGGUUUGGCUCUGGCUCCGUGGAAGGCACCGAUGGGUGCUGGGGCUUGUGCGCGUCCCACUUUAUACCCAAAAGGACCGAGUUGGUGGCUUUCCCAACUUCCUGAGCAACGCCUUUACCAGCACCGCCAAGUACCAGCUGCUCUUCGCUCUCAAGGUGCUCAACAUGAUGCCCGAGGAGAAACUGGCUGAGGCUUUGGCCGCUGCCACUGAGAAGCAGAAGAAAGCGCUGGAGAAGCUCCUCCCGUCUUCCUCCUGAGCACAGGCUGCAGGCAGCUCCAGGACAUGGUAUGGAAGCACGGGCCGAGUGUGCAGAAUGACAACCGCCGAGCCACCACAGACGGGAAGGUCACCACUGGCCCUAUGUCCGGAAGGACUUCUCAGUGAAGCUAACAAAGUUUCCACAGCACCUGCUUGGCCUGGUCGCUCUCAGUGAGGGUCAGGAAGAUGCGGAGGUCCACGUCCUGCUCCUCGAACACCUGCAGCUCGCUCCCAUGCGGUCCAGGAUCUAUGCCACCAGGAGGAGACUGUGGUCCCGCCCAGGCAGAAGAUGGAGGAGUCAUAAAGAAUAAAAGGACAAGGGAAGAGGGGUAACCGAGGCAAAGGCAGCUCUGUGAAUCUGAACCUCCCCGCACAUCCUCUCAAACCUGACAAGUCAGCAAAGGCAACAGAGCCACAUGAAUCCCACCCCUUCCCCAGAAGUGGGACAACAGAGAGCACCCCAACAGCCCUGUUCCUCGCUCCUAUGGAGAGAAGCCACGUCCAUUUCUCUUCUUGCAGAGAGACUUCUUGCUCAUGCACACCUAGUCUCCACAGAGAGCGAGCAGGUCUAGAAGAAAGCCACACCGGAGAGAGACAAGGGGACAGAAGUGCCGUGUUCCCAGAAAAAGUCCAUCCUGUGGCAGAAAAAUCGUCCUGGCGGAGGAAAGCACAGCCCCAGAGAAGCAACUUAAAAAUGCACAUGGGACAUGACGGAGCAGAACAGCCCCACUCCUGGCAGACACCUUGUGGAAACUGAGCAGUGAAUAGGAAAGCAAGUGGGGGAACUCCAGGAUCUGGCAAGACAAAAACAUAGCAAGGACACACAGGGCCUGGCCUCACUACAUACACCCCCCCUCCAAAAACAAAAACAACCAAAAAAGGACCAUCUAGCAAGGACUCCCCUGGAGACAUUGGGGAGGGAGUCCUGAAGCAGGAUGCUCACACCAGCCAGGCCUCUGAGCCCAGAAGCUCCAGCCCUCUCCACACACAGCUACUCCAGGGAGGACACAGGAACCGGGGGCAAAACACCGCAGCGAGUAAAGACGCCCCUCCCUCCGAACCACCACCACCAAAGAGGUAGAAGAAAGCUAACACGACACUCUGCACGGAUACAUCCUUAAACAAGUGUGGAGAGUGGAGAAAGCAUCCUGGUUCAGAAAUUCAAAACUGAGAACAGAAAGACACAGGCACACACUUGCAACGGUGAGAAAGGAAAAUGGAACUCAGGAAAGAGGUAGAAAACAAAGGUUAACAGGGCACCUGGCUGGCUCAGUCAGUGGAGUAGGCAACUCUUGACCUUGGGGUUGUGAGUCCAAGCCCCAUGCUGCGCGCAGAGAUGACUUAAAAACAGAAUCUUUAAAAAAAAAAAAAAAAAAAAAAGGAAGGGGGACGCCUGGGUGGCUCAGUUGUUAAGCAUCUGCCUUCGGCUCAGGUCAUGAUCUCAGGGGUCCUGGGAUCGAGCCCUGCGUUGGGCUCCCUGCUCGGCCGGGAGCCUGCUUCUCCCUCUCCCACUCCCCCUGCUUGUGUUCCCUCUCUCGCUGUGUCUCUUUCUGUCAAAUAAAUAAAUAAAAUCUUAAAAAAAAAAAAAAGAAUGCAAGUGAUGACCUCUGAGAAGCUUGUAAACCGCUAAAACAAAACAAAACAAAAUAAAGGUCAAAUUUUUUAAAAUGAAGACUCAGUCACGAGGUGCUCAAGGCAGAAGACAUUUGAGUGGAAAAGCAGUACUGCGGGAAAGUGAGAAAACCACCAAAGACUGAACAAGAAAGGGGAGAGAGAGAGGAUUGAGUCGGGAGGCAGGCGAGACUGAAACGAUACAGGAAAAUAACCACUGGAACUUCUUAGAAGGAGACAGAGAAACGGUUCUGCAGACCUCUGUGUGAGUUGAAGUUUGAAAUCCUGCAGGAAAGGAUUUCCUAGGAAAAUGCAGUUUACCAUACCUGGCCCCCAUGAAACAUGAGAAAGCAUAAGCAGACCAGUUUCUAUGGAAGAAACAGAAAAACGUACCACAAAGAAAGACCAAGUCCAGAUGGUUUCACAGAAUCCUGCCAAACCUUCAAAAAUCACAGGGCAUCCAUGCUGUAUAAAUUGGUCCAGAGCACAAAAAAGGAAGGAAGACUCAAAUUCUCUGAGAUACACUGAUGUCUACACCCGAUAAAACAGAAUCAAAGACCAGUAUCAUUUAUAAAUGAAUAGCCAUACAGAAACACUAAAUAAAAAACUGGCAAACACAAUCCAACAUCACAUUAAGAAAAUACACCACAUCGGAUUUAUACCAACAACAUAAAGUUGGUUCAUUAUUAGGAAAUUCACUAAUAUACUCUAUUAGUAGAUCUAAAGAGAAAAUUAACAGUUUUCUUCGUAGAUGCUGAAAAAGCCUUUGACAAAAUUCUACACUUAUUCCUGUAAAAAACAGUCAGGAAUACAGAAAAUGCCAGAUACUUUCUUAACAUGAGAGAAGACAUGUACACCUUACCCUUAAAGCCAGCAUCUCACCUAAGGUGGCAUUUCCACUAAGGUUAGGAUGAGGUGCAUGCCCACUGUCCCCAACACAUUCAACCCCUUACGAGAAGUAUUACCCAGUGCAACUAAAUGAAAGAAAUCAGAGGUACACAAGUCAGAGAGAAGCAGUAAAUCUAUCUCUAUGGGCAGCCUGUCUGGUAGCAUACAUGGAAAACCCUGGAAAAUCAAUAAAUUCAAGCAAUGAAAGAAUUCAGUAGAGCAGCAGAAUAUAAAACUGGCAAGCAGAGGCGCCUGGGGGGCUCAGUCAGUUAAGUGUCUGCCUUCAGCUCAGGUCAUGAUCCCAGAGUCUUGGGAUCGAGCCCCGCAUCAGGCUCCCUGCUCCGCAGGAAGCCUGCUUCUCCCUCUCCCACUCCCCCUGCUUGUGCUCCUGCUCUCGCUCUCUCUCUGUCAAAUAAAUAAAAUAAAUAAAAUAAAAUAAAACUGGCAAGCAGACGCCAACAGCCUUCACACUCAGACAAUAGGCAGAGGACGUGAAGGCAGUGAAACUCCAUGCAACAAAGAAAGACACUUAGGAAGAAAAAAAAGUUAUAUGCACAAUGUCUAGGAGGAAAAAUUUUAAACUCUCCUGUAGACACAAAAGUACACCUGAACAAAAGACGUCCCUUGUUACAGAGGAUGACUCAAAAGCAUAAAGGGGUAGUUGGCUUACAAAUCUGCCAGUCUCAAUAACACGGUUUCCAAGCAGCUAGACAAGUUGAUGUUCAAGUUUACACAGAAAAAUACACGAGCAAUACUAGGGAACACUGAACAGGGAAAGCUGCAGGGGGACUGGCCGACCAGACAGUCCAACGUACUACAAAAAGCCUCUGCAAGCUGUCAACAGUGUGGGUCUGGUGUGUGGACAGACAGACCCGGGGAACAGAAUAGCAAGUCCAGAAACAGACCUGGGCACAGAUGGAAAUUCGGAAUACAUGACAAAGACAACCUCUCAGAUCACUAGGUCAAAGAUGGACUGUUAAAUAGUUUAAUGAAGCCAGGACAACGGGGAAGCCAUCUGAGAACACCACACCUCACGCCACGCAUGACAAUAAAGUACAAAGGAUCAAAGAUGUAAACAAAAAAUGAAACCAUGUAAGUACCAGAAGAAAAUGGGCGAAUUCUUGUACAACCAGGAAACAGGGAAAGAUCUUCUGUGACCCCAAAUCUAAAAGCAAUAAAAGACUGAUGAAUGGGAGCCACACCUCAGCGGGGCCGGUGGGAGCUGGCAGCAGGGCCCCAGCAGAGGACCCCAGCGGCACAGGAG